rnacentral:rRNA from 1 species
ACUCAAAUGAAUUGACGGGGGCUAUCACAAGCGGUGGAGCAUGUGGUUUAAUUCGAUAAAACGCGCAAAACCUUACCGAUCCUUGACAGUUAAACUUUGCUUUUCUAUAAUUAGAUAAGUCUAAAACUUAAGUUUAUUAAUUACAGGUGCUGCAUGGCUGUCGUCAGUUCGUGUUGUGAAAUGUUUGGUUAAGUCCUUAGAACGAACGCAACCCCCAUUUUUGUUGCUUUUUCAGAUUUAUUUCUGUUAGGCUCUCUUAAAUAAUUCCGGCCAAAGUCGGAUGAAAGGGGAUGAUGUCAAGUCCUCAUGGCCCUUAUGGAUCGGGCUACACAUGUGCUACAAUGGUGAUCACAAUAGGAAGCAAUGAUUCAAAUCGGAGCAAAUCCUUAAAAAUCAUCUUAGUUCGGAUUGUUCUCUGCAACUCGAGAAUAUCAAGUCGGAAUCGCUAGUAAUCGUAAGUCAGCACAUUACGGUGAAUAUGUACACUAGCCUUGUACACACCGCCCGU